UACGUAGGGGGGCAAGCGUUGUCCGGAAUCAUUGGGCGUAAAGAGCGUGUAGGCGGCCCGAUAAGUCCGCUGUGAAAGUCCAGGGCUCAACCCUGGAAUGCCGGUGGAUACUGUCGGGCUCGAAUCCGGAAGAGGUGAGUGGAAUUCCUGGUGUAGCGGUGAAAUGCGCAGAUAUCAGGAGGAACACCAAUGGCGAAGGCAGCUCACUGGGACGGUAUUGACGCUGAGACGCGAAAGCGUGGGGGAGCGAACAGG
rnacentral:rRNA from 1 species